GCGCAGAGCAGCGCGGCCGCUCCUCGGCCCUGGCCAGCCCAAGUCACCGCCGCCGCUGCCACCUCGACGGCGGCCACCGGGAGGAAACGCUGUGCUCUGAAGGGGACAGAAGGGAUUCCCGCGGGACCCAGGCCCCCUGAGAUCUUCGGGAAGAUUCCGGCAACCGUCCCGCAUGCUCCUUCCACCCAGGACAAUGAGGACAGGAGGGGGAACCCUCUCCCCGCGCCAGGGUGGCCACCUAGUUGACAAUAACUUGAUCCUCUAUCGCAGGAGCGCAGUGGAUCUGCGGCGUGGAGGUCCUGCCUCGGGAGGUCUGAGCUGGAGCCCAAGACUCCACAUUUCUAAUGAGCUCCAGAUGAUAUCCUGCUGCUGAUCCGUGGACCACCCUUUGAGAUACGAAGUGGCCUUGUUCUCCGCUUUUCAGUUUUGCUGAUUGACGACAUCGCCCUGCUCACUUCAGCCUCCGGCCCCCCAUCUCCUUGAGACCUAACACCAUGCCUUCAAUUAAGUUGCAGAGUUCUGAUGGAGGGAUAUUUGAAGUUGAUGUUGAAAUUGCACAACAGUCUGUGACCAUCAAGACUAUGUUGGAAGAUUUGGGAAUGGAUGAUGAAGGAGAUGAUGAUCCAGUAUUAAAAAAGGCCAUUCAGUGGUGCACCCACCACAGGGAUGAUCCUCCUCCUCCUCCUAGGAUUAUGAGAACAAAGAGAAACGAACAGAUGAUAUACCUGUUUGGGAUCAAGAUACUUAGACGUCAAAGGUUUGCUUGAUGUUACCUGCAAGACUGUUGCUAAUAUGAUCAAGGGCAAAACUCCUGAGGAGAUUCGAAAGACAUUCAAUAUCAAAAAUGAUUUUACUGAAGAAGAGGAAGCCCAGGUACGCAAAGAGAACCAGUGGUGUGAGGAGAAGUGAAAUUUCGUGUCUGACGCUGUAACACUGUAAGGAUUAUUCCAAAUACUAGUUGCACUGCUUUGUUUAUAAUUGUUAAUGUUAGAAAAACAGUCAACAAAUGCAGCAGCAAGCCAAUUGUAUUAGCAGAAUGUUGUCCUCAUUGCAUGUGUAGUUUCAGUACAGUUCCCAAACUUAAGGCUCCGUUUCUUCUAGUAUGAUUGAAAGCUUCUUUUCUUUGCUCUGAAUAAAAUUGAACUGUGGGUUCCCUAUAGAAA